rnacentral:lncRNA from 1 species
UUACUGUCAAUGUUCUGCACCAUGAUUGAUUUAUCUUGAAUCAUCUUUUCAAUUUCUCUUUUCAAAGCACGAUAAUCUUCAAUACUGUGACCCUGAACAUCGGAAUGAUAUGUACAUCGUACAUUAGGAUCAAAACUUCUUGAAUGUGGGUCAGGAGUAUACCCAAGGAGAGGAGUGAUCAUGCCCUGUUGUACUAAUCUCUGGAAUAAACUUGCAUACGACUCUCCAAUGGG